ACAUUGGUGGUGUAGUGGUUAGUAGCACUGUCUUCUAAGCAGUGGGUCUGGGUUCAAUUCCUAGCCAACACA
rnacentral:tRNA from 1 species